UGGGGAAUAUUGCACAAUGGAGGAAACCCUGAUGCAGCGACGCCGCGUGAGCGAAGAAGGUUUUCGAAUCGUAAAGCUCUGUCCUAUGAGAAGAUAAUGACGGUAUCAUAGGAGGAAGCCCCGGCUAAAUACGUGCCAGCAGCCGCGGUAAUACGUAUGGGGCGAGCGUUGUCCGGAAUUAUUGGGCGUAAAGGGUACGUAGGCGGUCUAUUAAGUCAGGUGUGAAAGCGUGAGGCUUAACCUCAUUAAGCACUUGAAACUGAUAGACUUGAGUGAAGGAGAGGAAAGUGGAAUUCCUAGUGUAGCGGUGAAAUGCGUAGAUAUUAGGAGGAAUACCGGUGGCGAAGGCGACUUUCUGGACUUUUACUGACGCUCAGGUACGAAAGCGUGGGGAGCAAACAGG
rnacentral:rRNA from 1 species